UUGUACAGCUCGAUGACUGAGCUGCUGCUCCUGCCCAGAGCAUGGCGACCAGGACCAGGACUACUACACCCAUCCCAUUUGUUCCACAGGCCAUUGGCAGUUCUCUCUUCUCUGAUUGUUGCAGAAAAUGCUGUGCAGACUAUAAGUAAUUAGGGCUGCAGUUGAUUCGGUGAUUCAGGAACAAUUACACAAUUUCUAGAGCUUAGUGUUGUUCUGUUUCACUUUCGCGAAUUUGUACUUGGGUGAUACAAGGGAAGAUGGAAUUUAGAUACAAUGGAGCAAUGAUAUAUAUUAUUCAUUUUUAUUACUAUUUUAAAUCACAUCAAUUAUGUCAAGUUGCCUUAUUUCUACA